rnacentral:misc_RNA from 1 species
UGGUUCUGGCAUCGAUGAAGAACGCAGCGAAAUGCGAUAAGUAGUGUGAAUUGCAGAAUUCAGUGAAUCAUCGAAUCUUUGAACGCACAUUGCGCCCCUUGGUAUCCCGAGGGGCAUGCCUGUUCGAGCGUCAUUUCACCAUUCAAGCCUGGCUUGGUGUUGGGCGACGUCCCUUUCGGGGACGCGCUUCGAAAUGCUCGGCGGCGUGGCACCAGCUUUAAGCGUAGCAGAAUCUUUCGCUUUGAAAGUCGGGGCCCCGUCUGCCGGAAAACCUACUUAAGGUUGACCUCGGAUCAGGUAGGGAUACCCGCUGA